GAGUAAAGACCAACUGAUCCCAUAUUUAGAAAAGAUGAAACACAUCUUCAAUUCUCCUAUUCACUAGGGAGGAGAAACGAGCCCAGAGGAAUCAUCAGAUAUUCUCUGUCACAACAAAUUAAAUGUGCAAUAGGUUUUUUAUGUCACCUGGUUGAGUUAGCAUGGGAAUUAUUUACAGCACUUUGAAUGAAGAUGGAAAAUGAAUCUACAGAGAUCUGUAACUAAUAUGUAUGGACAUUCUUUCCUUUGUUUUUUCCCUCUUGCCCUUUUCCCCAGAAUACUUGGAAUGAAUUAAUAAUAAUGAUGGAUCCAAAGAAAUAACUGUGAAAGUGGUGAUGUUCAGGAAAGAUUGCUCCAAGAACAACCACUCUAUCUAGGGAAGUGGGGAAGGCUUUUCAACUUUGGAACUUGGGUGAGGCUGGCCAAAAGGAGACUGAAUGGAAAACGGAAUAUUCCACAAUCUUCUUCUCAAAGUCCUACAUGUCUACAACCCUCUGACCUGAAAGGCGGCUGUCUCCUUUUGGGCUCUGGGCCAUGCUGUAUCAAUUUGAUCUCCUGAAAGGCUGGAUACUAAGUAACUAAGGCCAACUAUAUGGGAGCUCCAUGCCUAUGUGACCAAUCAUCCCAAUAAAAAACCUGGACCCCAAGGCUUGGGUUCCAAGGAUACUUCCUAACCUGCUUUUCAAUGACUGUUUCCAUGGAACAGGGAGAUAUCCAAAUCAACUCAGUGUAACAUGGUGAAAACUGAAGCCAUCGUUACGGGUAAGAACCUUAAAGGGAGGGAAUUCCACUGCUGCCUACUGAUUCCAUCUGUCUCUAGAUGAGGCCUGUGCUGAGAGGUGAGUGAACGUAUUAAAUUUACCUUCUUCUUUCCAAAAGGAAUUUCAGACAAUGUUUCAUUGUGGCAGAGAAUCAAUCUCAUUUAAUGAUAAAAAAAGAAAACCACACAGGAAAAUAAUGGUUUUCCAUUUUGUUCCUCUCAAGGACUCAACUUACCUUGUAAUGGUAAAUAUAUUCCAAUGAUAACCAUUUUGGAAAUGUGAUAGAAUUACAAUUCUCCUAUAUUUAGUUGUUGUUGUUUUA